rnacentral:rRNA from 1 species
UCCAUGCCGUAAACGAUGUCUACUAGCCGUUGGGGCCUUUGAGGCUUUAGUGGCGCAGCUAACGCGAUAAGUAGACCGCCUGGGGAGUACGGUCGCAAGACUAAAACUCAAAUGAAUUGACGGGGGCCCGCACAAGCGGUGGAGCAUGUGGUUUAAUUCGAUGCAACGCGAAGAACCUUACCUGGUCUUGACAUAGUAAGAACUUUCCAGAGAUGGAUUGGUGCCUUCGGGAACUUACAUACAGGUGCUGCAUGGCUGUCGUCAGCUCGUGUCGUGAGAUGUUGGGUUAAGUCCCGCAACGAGCGCAACCCUUUUCCUAUUUGCCAGCACUUCGGGUGGAACUUUAAGGAUACUGCCAGUGACAAACUGGAGAAGCGGGGACACGUCAAGUCAUCAUGGCCCUUAGACCAGGGCUACACACG